rnacentral:lncRNA from 1 species
UGACCCUGUUGUUUCAUUUUGAUGUUUAAACGUUCUAAGUUCUGACGGUAGCUUUGUGUCAUAUACAUACACACGGCCUCAGUGACUAGAGUAGAAACUCUAGGCAUUAACGUGGCUCUGUUAUUUGCAACAUCAUUUGCUAACAGCUCCAGCAAAGCUUUUGAUCAUGCCAAGCUGUGUGGCUCAAUGAAAUCCAUGUAUAGAAUCCUAUCUAGCUGCAGAAAGAUUGCAUCAGAGAAGGCUGAAUGGUUCAAUUGCUGUUAUUCUAAAGCCAGCAUUCUGGGGAGAGCAUUAGUAUUCACAAACAUCAAAAGAGUCGCUAGAAUGGAAAUUGACCCUGUCUUGUAAUAUAAACAGGUCAGCUGUUUGAGAGUUUUCAAAGACAGUUAUGAUGUAAUAGCCUAUAUACAGUACUCACAGUCUAAUCUGUUUUAAGCUUCUCCUCUGGCAUUUCUCUUUCCCAGGAAUGAAAUAAAAGAAAAAGUGAAUGCAGAUAAAGAAGAGAGCUCAUCCCUUUUGCCAUUUAAGAAAUGGCCUAUUGUCCAGUCUCCGUAGGGAAAUGGCCUUGCUGGUAAACUCAAUAUUUACAUCACCAGGGCUGUUCUCUCAGAGCCUUUUUUUUUUUUAAAUGUGAGAUAUUAUCAUUUGGUGAUUUAUGAUCUAUGCAUCUCUGCUGACAUUUUUUCUGAAGUUUUCAUUGUUCAUAAAUGUACAUGACACCAGGCAAAUAGCUGGUACUGAUCGAGCCAGCUGCAGGUGCAGCAGACAUUUUAAAUAGGAACACAAUUAAAUGGAAAUCUGAAUUCUAGCCAGCGGGAUGUUAGCAAUAAUACAGUACACUGGGGGGGGGGUGCUGCUCUAUCGAUCCUGUGGUGUCUCAAUAAGCAACAGCUCACAGUGCACUUGCCACAAAAAGGUGGAUAUGUUUCAGCAAAGCCUUCUCCCACUCCGUGGAGUGGGUUGUAGGAGGACUUGGGUUGAGGCAAUUCAUUCAGAUGAAAGAUGUACGUUAAGGAUGAAAUUAUACUUGGUUUUAUCUAGCCUCUCCUCUUCUUUUAAAUUUGCUGAGUUCACUAGUUUCUUGACAAUCCCUCCUUCCCCCAAACUCCUACAACAAUUAUUGGUAAGCAGAAAAAUUAAGAGUGAAGAAUUAAUUUACACUGAAAAAUAUAAAAUCACAGCUUUCCCCAAAGUGACUUUUUCUAAAAUUAAAGGUGAAAAGCCGCCAAGAAAUUGCAUUUGGCAGAAACGCACACUGAUUUAAAUCUAUGAAGACGUUAAAGUCGAACACUGAGCUGUAACAUUGUGUAACUGGUCUUUGGGGGUGGCGUUAAUAUUUGAUCUGUGAGCUUCAGAACAAAUGUCUCACAUCUUUCAGAAAUGGGCAAAGAGGUCUACGCUCCGGAGUCAGGUCAGAAGCAUGGUGAAUUUUCCACAUGUUGAAGAGUUUUCAGUUGUGUCUUUCACAUUCCAUGAUGUAGAUCUCCAAAACACUUACUUUAUAAUGGAUGAUGUGCAAACAUGUUAACGUUUUUGGGAAAACCUCUCAGUAUAUGGUCUUAAAAACAGAAGUUUGAUGGAAAGAAAAUAAUACCUUACCAUAGGUAUUUUUCCAAUUAAUAAUUUACUGCAUGUAUAAAAAGUCACUAUCCAUCCGUCAUCCUAUAAAAUCACCUGGAGCAGAGCAGUUAGUGGCCAAUGAGUCCUACAAUAACUCCCCAUUCUCUAAGAAUCCCAUUAAUCCCCCCAGUUGCCCACUGGCAGUUCAGGGUCCCCCAUCACCAUCCCUGACACACACUUAGAUGCGCCACCUCAUUCUAUUCCUGCGUUGUGUACCCCCUCUACCCUCACAACCCAAUAUUUUCAAAGAUGAAGCCACAUAUAUGAAGUACAAAGAGCAAAGGAAUCACCCCAAGUCCCAGCUCUGCUCUUUCCUAUAAAAUCACCUGGAGCAGAGCAGUUAUGGCCAAUGAGUCCUACAAUAACUCCCCAUUCUCUAAGAAUCCCAUUAAUCCCCCCAGUUGCCCACUAUCUAUCUGAUUUUGUCCCGUUUUGUCAAACUCACCUUUAAGUUUGGGGGUUUCUCAUCUGCAGAUAAACAAAUGUGUCUCAGAGGUGGGAAUAUUAAAUUGAAUAAUGGUGGUAAAAGGCCUAGCAUAAUGAUUCCUAGUAUGUAAAUGUCACUCCAUAAAUGUUGGUAGGCUUUUCCCCUGCCUAUGUAAGAGAUGCAAUGAAUCACUUAAUGGUUUGUGCUCCUUAACAUGAAUUAUUUGCAUUUUAAAAGAGAUCCUUUGUGGACCCCAAAGAAUAAAAUAUUGAUAAUGGAAUUUUAGAGAGUAGGGCAGGAUGGUGUGAGUUAUGGUGAGAGUCAUUUUUAAGUCAGGAGAUGUUUCCAGGUCUACUACAUAUCACAGUGAGGACACCUAGUCCAUCCAUGUUUCUCAACACAAAAAUAAGAACAUUAUCUAUCAUAAAAGUGCAUUAAAUAGUGCCUCUCAUAAGCUCAAUGAUCCUGAUUUUAGGAAAUUAAGAUCAUUAUUAUUUGAUUGAAUUUAAUUAAACAGAACCCACCACCUUAGAGCCCCUGGGCUUCUUUAUAAAGAGAAUAUGAAUGUAAUGAUUAAAUUAAGUCACAGCCAAUAAGAUUCUCAUCAGAAAAGAAAAUGGAAGGACUUAUCUGAUUGAGAACUCUGAGUCAAUUAUACGCCUUGGGUGUUUUACGAAAGUCAUUGAAAUUUACCCUUGCUAAAAGAAAGAGACCACUUAAAAACUACUACUCAUUUAUUUGUGCAUUUAUUCAUCCCAUAUUUAUCAAGCCUCUUCUCCAUGGUAGACACUGUUCUGGACAUCUUGUGAGAAAUACCAGGAAAAAUGAGAUGCAUUUCCUGGCCUCCUGCAAAACUUGGAGCAGGGCACACUCCCAAAUGAAUAUAAUGCAUAGAAUUUGGAAUGCAGAAAAAUAUAUUUAUUUUGAUCUGAAAGUAUCAGGAAAGUAUUCUUUGAAUACAUGGUAUUGCAUUUAGGCCACAGAGUUAAGAUGAUUCAACAAAAUCGUUCAAGCAUUUUUCAUUAUAUUUUUACCAUAUGUCAGAAGCUAUCUUAAAUCCUGGAGAGACAGUCUCAGAAAGAACGGAAUUGUGUUUUAGCUCUGCUAUUUUCUAGCUGUGAGCUGUAGUAAAAUUAUUUACUUUUAAAGGGCUCCCUUUCCUCAACUCAGAUAAAAUAAGCUUUGACCUCAUAGAUGAAUAUUUGGAGGAAAUAAUGCAUUUAUUGUGCUCAAUAAAUGUUUACUCUUGUUAUUAUAACAGUUCAUUGGUUUCCUCUCUUCCUUUGUUUUUCUCUAAACUCUCCCAUUUCUGUCAGUCUCAAUCUCAUCAAGCAAAACUUUAAUCAACACAAUCCAAGCAAAGAUUUGGUAGAUUUUCUGAAUCUCUAGAGAAAUUCUACAUAAACACUUCACUUUUGCAUUCAAUGUGUAUGAUGAUCUGUUUCUAACCAUUUUGUUAUUUGUACUGUCUAAUUUCUAGAUCAAUCAGAUUCUAGGACAUUGUGGAAUUGUGACCUGGACUCUACUGCCUUUGUAUCUUUAGACAUAUUCAAGGGAAAGUUCUUUGCUUUUUCUUCUAUUAGUGUUCUUAUUUUCUGAAAUAGUAUUCAAGACCCAGCUCACCUCCUCUGUUAAACUCUCCCAAGUACUCCUGGCUCAUUACCUUUCUUUGAAUCUAGUGUUGAUCAUGUUAAAACACCACUGAGAAACUUUUCUGCUUUUCAUUCCUUGAUGAAUCAAAUCUGAACAUUUUAGCAUGACAUGCCCCUUAUAGUCAAGUCAUCUACAUGGUUUCUCAAAUAUGCUGUGUUCUUUUGUGCCUUUCUUAUGCUAUCUUCUCCAUAUGGAAUGUUCUAUACCACUUUAAAAUCUUUGGCCUUUUACACUGUUGGUGGGAAUGCAAAUUGCUACAACCACUACAGAAAACAGUAUGGAGGCACCUCAGAAAACUAAAUACAGACCUGCCAUACGACCCAGCAAUCCUACUCUUGGGCAUAUAGCGGGCCUAAACUUUCCUUGAAAAUGACACAUGCACCCGCAUGUUCAUUGCAGCACUAUUCACGGUAGCCAAGACAUGGAAACAACCUAAAUGUCCAUCAACAGAUGAAUAGAUUAAGCAGAUGUGGUAUAUAUACACAAUGGAAUGCUAUUUAGCCAUAAAAAGAACAAAAUAAUGCCAAAUGCAGCAACAUGGAACUAGAGAUUCUCAUAUUAAGUGAAGUAAGCCAGAAAGAGAAAGACAAAUACCAUAUAUAUAUAUCACUUAUAUCUGGAACCUAAUAUAUGGCAUAAACGAACCUCUCCACAAAAAGAAACUCAUGGACUUGGAGAACAGACUUGUGGUUGCCAAAGGGGAGGAGGAAGGACUGGGAUGGACUGGGAAUCUGGGGUUAAUAAUGCAAACUAUUGCCUUUGGAAUAGAUAAACAAUGAGAUACUGCUGUAUAGUACUGGGAACUAUAUCUAGUCACUUAUGAUAGAGCAUGACAGAGGAUAAUGUGAGAAAAAGAAUGUAUAUAUGUAUGUGUGAUUGUAUCACUUUGCUGUACAAUAGAAAAUUGACAGAACAGUGUAAACCAACUAUCAUGGAAAAAAAUAAAAAUUAUUUAAAAAAACAAAAACAACAACAAAAAAGUUGGAAAAAAAUAAAAUAAAAUCUUGGCCUUUUAAAUGGCCAGAUCUGGGAAGACUUUCUGGAUGGCUUCAAUAGAAAUUAAUCUCAUCUAUCCUUACAACACCUCAUCUACAUUCUGUUUUAGCACUCAGCAAACUCACAGCACACAGCUAGCAGUACGUUCCUACCUGGCUUCAAAGAGUAUGAAUUCCUGAAGGCACAGGCUAAUUUUUAUUUGUCAUUAAAUGACCCAUUUAUAUCACUGUACCUGCCACACCAGGACUCAAUACAUGUUAACUGAAUGGUGUAGAGGACACAGAGUGUCCCAGAGACAGAACAGUGGCUCUCAAUGUGAUCAUCUUGCCUGAUUCAAGAAGUGGCUCAGUGGAAACGAACCUGACUAGCAUCCAUGAGGAUGCAGUUUCGAUCCCUGGCCUUUCUCGGUGGGUUAAGGAUCCAGUGCUGCUGAGAGCUGUGGUGUAGGUCAUAGACCCGACUCGGAUCCCGGAUUGCUGUGGCUGUGGCAUAGGCUGGCAGCUACAGCUCCCAUUUGACCCCUUGCCCGGGAACCUCCAUGUGCCCUGGGUGCAGUCCUAAAAUGACAAAAAAAAAAA